CCUACGGGUGGCAGCAGUGGGGAAUAUUGGACAAUGGGCGAAAGCCUGAUCCAGCCAUGCCGCGUGUGUGAAGAAGGCCUUCGGGUUGUAAAGCACUUUCAGUGGGGAAGAAAGCCUUGGGGCUAAUACCCUCGAGGAAGGACAUCACCCACAGAAGAAGCACCGGCUAACUCCGUGCCAGCAGCCGCGGUAAUACGGAGGGUGCGAGCGUUAAUCGGAAUUACUGGGCGUAAAGCGCGCGUAGGCGGUCUGAUAAGCCGGUUGUGAAAGCCCCGGGCUCAACCUGGGAACGGCAUCCGGAACUGUCAGGCUAGAGUGCAGGAGAGGAAGGUAGAAUUACCGGUGUAGCGGUGAAAUGCGUAGAGAUCGGGAGGAAUACCAGUGGCGAAGGCGGCCUUCUGGACUGACACUGACGCUGAGGUGCGAAAGCGUGGGUAGCAAACAGGAUUAGAUACCCUGGUAGUC
rnacentral:rRNA from 1 species